UGUGUGUCUGCCAAUGAUGUAUAAUUUAUUUUGCUGAUUAUGUGAAGAUAAAUAUGUUUCGUCACUACCUCUGAGGCAGAUGCACA
rnacentral:snoRNA from 1 species